rnacentral:rRNA from 1 species
AUUGAACGCUGGCGGCAGGCCUAACACAUGCAAGUCGAGCGAGCGUCGGACGGGUGCGUAAUGUAUGGGGACUGCCCGAUAGCGGGGGAUAACUACUGGAAACGGUGGCUAAUACCGCAUACUAUCGGAUAACCCAUAGGGGAUUAGCUAGUAGGUGGGGUAAAGGCUCACCUAGGCGACGAUCUCUAGCUGGUCUGAGAGGAUGCGCAGCCACACUGGGACGGAGACACGGCCCAGACUCCAAGGGAGGCAGCAGGGGGGAAUAUUGAACAAUGGGCGCAAGCCUGAUGCAGCCAUGCCGCGUGGAUGAAGAAGGCCUUAGGGUUGUAAAGUACUUUCAGCGGGGAGGCGUUACCCGCAGAAGAAGCACCGGCUAACUCCGGGCCAGCAGCCGCGGUAAUUC